rnacentral:lncRNA from 1 species
CUCAAAACAUUCAUCCCUUGAUUAAUGCAUAGUCAAUCCAUUCGUACUCCUUUCGCCAUCCUAGUGGCAUUUCAUCUGCAGCGACGGUGCUUACACUCUCCUGAACUUAUACGGACAGUUCCUAACCUGGCAGCCAUGCUGGCCACAUUCAAAGCAUGCUCCCCUUUUUCUCUGACACCGGACUAACUCAAGCCUCAUUUCCAUAAACUCGACACGCAAUCAGAGAGUCCUCUAUCUCUCAUCAAGGAACAUCAUG